GGGCCAUGGAGAAAGGGGUUUUUGUUUCAUGUUCAGCAGGAAAUGGUGGGCCUGAUCCAAUUAGUUUGACAAAUGUGUCACCAUGGAUCACUACUGUAGGAGCAAGCACUAUGGAUAGAGAUUUUCCAGCAACUGUUGAGCUGGGGACGGGGAAGAUUGUGACCGGAGCUUCACUUUAUAAAGGUAGGAUGAAUCUUUCAACACAAAAACAGUAUCCUUUGAUUUACUUAGGAAGUAAUUCGAGCAAUCUCAUGCCGAGCUCAUUGUGCUUAGAUGGUACCUUAGAUAA
rnacentral:misc_RNA from 1 species